UUCGAGAGAUGAUGAGGACUUAAACUAAGCUCAGAGGCAUCUGCUCUGAUGAAAGUAUGUUUUGCACGUCAGUCUGAUCUCAGA